GUCCACGAGCGGGGUAACGGCGUCAACUAGUGGACUCAACCGCCGCGGCUGUCUCUCGCCGCGGUUGGGAAACCUUAGAGAGGCUGGCGAAUCGGAUCCUGCCUUUGCGGAGCCGGAACGUGAGAACCAAAAGCAAAGGCUAAGCUUGUAGAUACUCCCUUUUGGAUGGCUUCGGACGCGGGUUCGAUUCCCGCCGCCUCCACCA
rnacentral:tmRNA from 1 species